AUUGAUCGGUUAUUGAUUUAUUGAUUAUUCCAACGUUCAAAUAAUUAUUCACAUUUCUGAGAAAAAGAUCAAAUAUUUAGUUAAAUAUUCAAGUAAAUAUUUAUUUAAAGUGUUUCAGCAGCUGGAGAUAAAAAAUAAUCUGAUGGAUCUGGUGUGUGUUAAUGUGAGUUACUGUGGUAAUGUAUGUUAUUGUGGUAAUGUGUGUUAUUGUGGUAAUGUGUGUUAUUGUGUUAUUACAACCCGGUCUCACGGGGAUUCGUGAAACUGUCACGUAAGUUUUAGUUUCGGUUUCGUGCGCACCAACACGAUUUCGUCAUGUUUUUCGUGCCGCUCACCACGAAAUGUUUUUCGCUGUGGUAAUCACAUCUGAAAGUGGUUUAUACCGGCGGAUUCAUGACGAUCUAAGCUGUCCAUCGGCGUAUACUGCUUGUGUGAUCGCGUUUGCGGCCGCCGGCCGCCGGACAUUCUUGAAAUUCCUAUGCAAAUUGGUAAGUGUACCACCGGCUUAUGGUUAGGUUAUGGUUAGGGUUAUGGUUAGGGUUAUGUUUAGGGACGAUGUCAUGCAAAAUAUAGCGUUGGAUUCGCCACGGUUUUACAUUAAAAAUAUAAUAUACACAUUCUUUUGAAAUACGUUCUGAGUGGCACGAAAAGUCCGCCGUUUAAAAUACAUUGGUGCGCAUUUCGUGGUGAGCGGCACGAAAAACAUGACGAAAUCGUGUUGGUGCGCACGAAACCGAAACUAAAACUUACGUGACAGUUUCACGAAUCCCCGUGAGAUCGGGCUCGUUAUUAAUGUAGCCACAAGGGGACACAAGCCAGUGUCUUAUUGUGCCCGGAUAAAUACAGAGGGUUGUGGCAGGAAGGGCAUCUGACGUAAAACUUUGGCCAAAUCAAUCAUGCGAAUCAAAUGUAUGACUUCCAUACCGGAUCGGUCGAGGCCCGGGUUAACAACGACCGCCAUUGGUGCUGUCGACCUACAGGGUGCCGGUGGAAAAUGGACUACUGUUGGUCGAAGAAGGAGAGGAGGAAGGUGUGUUCGUAGGAAGAGAGAGAAGAGGAACACCAAGAGUCUAGGACUGAGAGUAGGGACUUUGAAUGUUGGAAAUAUGACAGGAAAAGGUAGAGAGCUGGUUGACAUGAUGCAGAGGAGGAAGGUGGACAUACUGUGUGUCCAGGAGAGCAGGUGGAAAGGUAGUAAAGCUAGAAGUUCAGGAGCAGGGUUCAAGUUGUUCUAUCAUGGUGUAGAUAGGAAGAGAAAUGGAGUAGGAGUUAUCUUGAAGGAGGAGUUUGUUAGGAAUGUCCUGGAGGUAAAAAGAGUGUCAGAUCAAAUGAUGAGCCUGAAGCUAGAAAUCAAAGGUGUGAUGUUCAAUGUUGUUAGUGGGUAUGCUCCACAGGUAGGAUGUGAGCUGGAGGGAAGGAGAAAUUCUGGUUGGACCUUGAUGAAGUGAUGCAGAGCAUCCCUAGAAGUGAGAGAGUUGUCAUUGGUGCAGACUUCAAUGGACAUGUUGGUGCAGGAAACAGAGAUGAUGAGGAGGUCAUGGGCAGGUUUGGUAUCCAGGAGAGGAACGCAGAAGGACAGAUGGUGGUUGACUUUGCAAAAAGGAUGGAAAUGGCUGUAGUGAAUACUUUCUUCCAGAAGAGGCAGGAACAUAGGGUGACCUAUAAGAGUGGAGGUAGGAGCACACAGGUAGACUACAUCUUGUGUAGACGGUGUAAUCUGAAGGAGAUCAGUGACUGCAAAGUAGUGGUAGGUGAGAGUGUAGCCAGACAGCAUAGGAUGGUGGUGUGUAGGAUGACCCUGGUGGUGAAGAAGAUGAAGAGGGCAAAGGCAGAGCAGAGGACCAAAUGGUGGAAGCUGAAAAAGGAAGAGUGUUGUAUGACUUUCAGGAAAGAGUUGAGACAGGCUUUGGAUGGUCAGGAGGUGCUUCCAGAUGACUGGACAACUACAGCAAAUGUGAUCAGGGAGACAGGUCGGAGAGUACUUGGUGUGUCAUCUGGAAGGAAAGGAGAUAAGGAGACUUGGUGGUGGAAUGAGGAGGUGCAGGAGUGGAUCCAGAGAAAGAGGUUAGCUAAGAAGAAGUGGGACACUGAGAGGACUGAAGAGAGUAGACAGGAGUACAGGGAGAUGCAGCGUAAGGUGAAAGUAGAGGUGGCAAAGGCCAAACAAGGGGCUUACCAUGACUUGUAUUCUGGGUUGGACAGUAAGGAGGGAGAGACUGAUCUGUACAGGUUGGCAAGGCAGAGAGACAGAGAUGGGAAGGACAUGCAGCAGGUUAGGGUGAUAAAGGAUAAGGAUGGAAGUGUGUUGACAGGUGCCAAUAGUGUGAUGGGAAGAUGGAAAGAGUACUUUGAAGAGUUGAUGGAUGAGGAAAAUGAGAGAGAAUGAAGAGUAGAAGAGGUGACUGUUGUGGACCAGGAAGUAGCAAAGAUUAGUGAGGAUGAAGUGAAGAGGGCAUUGAAGAGGAUGAAGAGUGGAAAGGCACUUGGUCCUGAUGAUAUACCUGUGGAGGUAUGGAAGUGUCUCGGAGAGGUAGCAGUAGAGUUUCUGACUGGGUUGUUCAACAGGAUCUUAGAUAGUGAGAAGAUGCCCGAGGAAUGGAGGAGAAGUGUGCUGGUGCCCAUCUUUAAGAACAAGGGAGAUGUGAAGAGUUGUGGCAACUACAGAGGAAUAAAGCUGAUGAGCCACACGAUGAAGCUAUGGGAAAGAGUAGUUGA